UCGCGCGAGAAAGCCCCUUCGGGGGUGAGUAAAGCGGCGGACGGGUGAGUAACGCGUGGACAACCUACCCUGGGGUUGGGGAUAACCCUGCGAAAGCGGGGCUAAUACCGAAUACGCUGUUUUUUUCCUGGGUGAUUUGUUUCACCGAGGAUUUGAGCGGGAAAGGUGGCCUCUGAUUCAAGCUACCGCCCUGGGAUGGGUUCGCGUCCCAUUAGCUUGUUGGUGGGGUAACGGCCUACCAAGGCGACGAUGGGUAGCCGGCCUGAGAGGGUGAUCGGCCACACUGGGACUGGAACACGGCCAGACUCCUACGGGAGGCAGCAGUGGGGAAUCUUGGGCAAUGGGCGCAAGCCUGACCCAGCGACGCCGCGUGUGGGAAGAAGGCCUUCGGGUCGUAAACCACUGUCAGGAGGGAAGAAAAAGCAGAAUCCGAACAGGGUUCUGUAUUGACGGUACCUCCCAGAGGGAAGCACCGGCCAAC
rnacentral:rRNA from 1 species